rnacentral:misc_RNA from 1 species
UUGUUGGCGCGGAAGUAGUCCGCGAGAUUGAGCUGUGUCGUGGUGCCGGCCUGGACGCAAACCUUGCUGCCGUCGAGUUCAAGGCCGGACGUGAUGUUGCGCGACUGGCGCACCAUGAAGCCUUCGCCGUCAUAAUAGGCGACCGCCGCGAAAUUCAGGCCAUACUCGGUUUCGCGCGACAUGCUCCAGGUGGAGUUGCGCGACAGGAUGUCGACCUUGCGAUUGCGCAAUUCCUUGAAGCGCUCGCUGGCGUCGAGGGGAAUGAACUUCACCUUGUUCGGAUCGUUGAAGAUCGCGGC